rnacentral:lncRNA from 8 species
AAAUAAUAAUAAAAAAAGAAAAUUGAAAAAUAACAAAUAAUUAAAGAGCAACAAUAAAAUAACAGUAGUGAGGCUAUAUACAGGGGGUACCAGUACAGAGUCAAUGUGCGGGGGCACCAGUUAGUCGAGGUAAUUGAGGUAAUAUGUACAUGUAGAUAGAGUUAAAGUGACUAUGCAUAGAUAAUAAACAGAGAGUAGCAGCAGCGUAAAAGUGGGGGAGGGGGGGGACAAUGGACACAUAUGAAUAUUAAGUUAUUAGGAUAUUUUGUGUUUCCUGUGUAUGACUAAUUUGUGUGUGUGUCUGUUUUUGUCUGCCUCGUGGUGUUAAGUGUAACAAACCGUGUUCUGGAGGUGAACUUCGUGCUCGCCACUCUCUGAAACUCCAACCUCCUUAACCAUAACAUCAACAACACAAAACGAGCUCGCUCGCUGCCAGCCCCUGACAACUCAAUGUGUGGCAACAUCGACUCCUACCUCAUCGCCAUGGAGACCAGUGAAUUAGCGGGUCCCUCCGAUGCACCCGCAGCUCGGACCCCCUCGCCCAAUCACAACCCAGCCGCAUGUAGCUUAUCACAGUGCAAGGAAGAGGAGGAAGAGACAGAGGACACUGAAAGACCUCCCAGUAAAAAGUCUGUCCCACUGAUUCUCAACUGACCAAUCAAACGAUCAAGAGCCAGGAAGUGCUGGCCAGCGACAGCGAGGAUGAUACCCCAGCAGCAUCGCUGUGACAUUGGGGUGGUGGAACAGGAGCACUGUGUAAAUCCAUUUCACACCACUUAUGGAAUCCCUUUGAGGACAAAUAUUUAAAGAGAUGAGGGACAGUGACGGGACAUUCAGCCUUUUUAUUGGACCAUGAUGAGGAUGACAUCACUCUGGGGACUCCGGAGUUAUGAGGAAUUGGACAACAAGCACUUCCUGUUUAUGUUGGCAUGUCAAUGAUCAAUGUACACAAGCCCUAGAAUAAAACAAACACUAUUUUCCUGAGUUAGAAAAAAUAAUUGUUUUAUUUACAUUCCAGAAAAGUCUACAAUUGAAGGAAAUGUUUUCUGGGUAAUUUUUGUGGUUUGUAAGAUAUUUUUAGAUG